rnacentral:lncRNA from 1 species
AUUUGCUGACUGGUCGAUGCUAGAUGAUCUUGAGACCCUGUGCUGAGGACUGGAGAACUACAGGAAAGGAGCAGUAUCUCUGAAUUAUCGUGUGGAAGGUCACUUGUCUAGCCCCUGAUGACUGUGAGCCUCUUCCUCCUGCUUGCCACCUCUCAGUCACAAGACGGCUGCUGCGACUCAGGCUCAUGUCCCAAUUCAAGGCAGCAAGAAGGCCAUGGAGCGGCACCUGCCAGCUCCUGUCUCCCCAUCCCCUAGAAUCGUUGACAAAAUGAGUGACACUGCCCUGGGAUCUGGGUCUCUGGUUGAGGCCUUGGAGCUACUGCCUCUGCCUGUGAACUCACCCAUCAUCGCUAACAGGUUGCUCCACAGCCUACAGAUCUCAAUAUUUCGCUAGCACAAAACCCAAGCGGCCAGGCACGGUGGCUCACGCCUGUAAUCCCAGCACUUUGGGAGGCCGAGGCGGGUGGAUCACUUGAGGUCAGGAGUUCGAGACCAGCCUGACCAACAUGGAGAAACCCCGUCUCUACUAAAAAUACAAAAU